GUAGCUGGUCCUCUAGGGCAUAUGCACACCUGGAUCAUUUAUGUAAUAUCAUUAAAUAAUUUUUUAUUACCCUUGUGCAUACCUGUAGCUUGAGCCUUGAUAUACUUAUUGGUUUAAGCUAUGAAUUUUAAUAGCUACACACUUGAAAAAUGUUGGGAUUUAUUAUUGAAUAAAUAUAACUUUCAGCAACGGAUCUCUUGGCUCUCGCAUCGAUGAAGAACGCAGCGAAAUGCGAUAAGUAAUGUGAAUUGCAGAAUUCAGUGAAUCAUCGAAUCUUUGAACGCAUCUUGCACUCCUUGGUAUUCUGAGGAGCAUGUCUGUUUGAGUGUCAUAAUUAUUAUCAACUGCUUUGGUUUUAUCAAAGUGAAGUUGGAUGAGUGAAGGAGUGCAGGCAAAACUUUUUAUAUGUUUGCUCUUUCAAAAUAUAUUUAAGGACUGUAUCUUGGAUGAAGCUAUUAAUGCUUAGUGAAAAGAUCAUCAAUAUGAUAAAUUACUAUAUUGUUGAUAAACAUAUACAUCCAAGCUUCUGUCUAUAUAAGCAUAUAUAAUAUUUGACCUCAAAUCAGAUAAGACUACCCGCUGAACUUAAGCAUAUCAAUA
rnacentral:rRNA from 1 species